AGUGAACGCUGGCGGUAGGCCUAACACAUGCAAGUCGAACGGCAGCACAGUAAGAGCUUGCUCUUACGGGUGGCGAGUGGCGGACGGGUGAGGAAUACAUCGGAAUCUACUUUUUCGUGGGGGAUAACGUAGGGAAGCUUACGCUAAUACCGCAUACGACCUACGGGUGAAAGCAGGGGAUCUUCGGACCUUGCGCGAUUGAAUGAGCCGAUGUCGGAUUAGCUAGUUGGCGGGGUAAAGGCCCACCAAGGCGACGAUCCGUAGCUGGUCUGAGAGGAUGAUCCGCCACACUGGAACUGAGACACGGUCCAGACUCCUACGGGAGGCAGCAGUGGGGAAUAUUGGACAAUGGGCGCAAGCCUGAUCCAGCCAUACCGCGUGGGUGAAGAAGGCCUUCGGGUUGUAAAGCCCUUUUGUUGGGAAAGAAAAGCAGCAGGUUAAUACCCCGCUGUUCUGACGGUACCCAAAGAAUAAGCACCGGCUAACUUCGUG
rnacentral:rRNA from 1 species